UACGUAGGGGGCAAGCGUUGUCCGGAAUCAUUGGGCGUAAAGCGCGUGUAGGCGGCCCGGUAAGUCCGCUGUGAAAGUCGGGGGCUCAACCCUCGAAUGCCGGUGGAUACUGUCGGGCUAGAGUGCGGAAGAGGCGAGUGGAAUUCCUGGUGUAGCGGUGAAAUGCGCAGAUAUCAGGAAGAACACCCGUGGCGAAGGCGGCUCUCUGGGACGGUACUGACGCUGAGACGCGAAAGCGUGGGGAGCGAACAGG
rnacentral:rRNA from 1 species